CAUUUUUAAUACGAUCCGAGUCACAUGGGCCGGGUUUUCGUAAAGGGAAGUAGGCAGCCGGAAACUCUCAGGUGGGCUGGUCGGCGGCGCGGCGCGCGUCGUCCUCGGGGAGCUGCCGCCGGCAGCCGCGAUCCGCCUUAGAGGGGGCUACCUCCGCCGGCGGCAGCGAAGGAGGCCGGGGCCCGACGCGACGCGCGAAUUGGGGCGGGGCUUGGUCGUAUCCUUUCCGCGCGCGAACUCGAAUGGCCGGUUCUCAGUCGUCGCGACGCGGCAGUGAACGCCCGCGAACGACGAGGCGGGGUUGCGAGCGCAUACGUGCCGCCGUAGCCGUAGCCGUAGCUGCCACUACCUAUCGCCCCGACCCCUGAGGCCCCACUCCUCCUUCUCCGAGCGCCACAAGCAGAGUCCGCCCCCGAGCUUGAAGGCCAGCUAGGUGCUCCGGCAAGACCCACCCUUCCACUUGCCCCUACAACAACGCGAGCAGUGGCUAUUCGGUCCGACGCCACCGCGCCUCAUACGUUCCACGUUACCGUACGGGCACCAGCACAAAGGGUUCAGCUUUAGCCGCGGCCUCCCCCAGAGGUGUCUACUUGAAGACUUACAAGACUCCCUAGACUUCCAUCUGAAAUAAGAUGAACGACCAAUGAACUUCGAGUAUGGACCACUCGAUCAAUUCAGUAAAGGGUCUAGGUACGACUUAUAUGUAGGAAGUGACGAGGGCCGUAAACCUCCGUUCCCAAUAAUACCAAACUUUCACGUAUUUCGUCAAUAACGUAGACCUCGGUCUAUGAGUCCUGGUUGACACGUGAAACACCUACUCGUCAAGCUGUGUCCCUUUUGGAACCGGGUUUCUCAACACGGUCACAAUCGGUUACUAUGAGGUCUCGUUAACCGACGUUCCCAAGAAGUGCUCCUCGUGGUUCAAAUGCAACUCCGUCAACGACGGAACACACUCCUAGCUUAACACACCGCUCUGCUACCACAGGGUGAAUAGUCUUCAGUCUGUUUGGGGUUACGCAUAUGGAUUAAGCACUAGAGACAGGACUCUAGAGGACUUUUGAUUACUUCAAACAUCACAGGCGUGGUUCACGGUCAAAAGCGGUGCCGUACAUCAGUUGUGUGUGGCAAACAGACUAACUCACUUUAUUGUACAGAUUAUUAGACCAGGGUCUUUGUAUUACACAUGGAACGUGACACAAAUUGAGUAACAUACCGAACCGAAGCUACUAUUAGACACGGACUUUAUUGUAAAGACUAUUAGACCAGGGUCUUCGCAUUACAGUGGAACAUGACACAAGUUGAGUAACAUACCGAACCGAAACUAC
rnacentral:rRNA from 1 species